rnacentral:tRNA from 1 species
GGAGAAGUAGCAUAGCCCGGCCUAAUGCGCUCGCUUGGAGAGCGAGUACGGGUAACUCCCGUCGUGGGUUCGAAUCCCACCUUCUCCGCCA